rnacentral:rRNA from 1 species
GACGUAGGGCGCAAGCGUUGUCCGGAUUUAUUGGGCGUAAAGAGCUCGUAGGCGGCUCGUUGCGUCGGCUGUGAAAUCCCGGGGCUCAACCCCGGGACUGCAUUCGAUACUGUCAGGCUAGAGGUAGGUAGGGGAGAUCGGAAUUCCUGGUGUAGCGGUGAAAUGCGCAGAUAUCAGGAGGAACACCAAUUGCGAAGGCAGCUCGCUGGGACGUUACUGACGCUGAGACGCGAAAGCCAGGGGAGCGAACGGG